AAUCAAGUAGCUUCAUUCUGAAUCAACUCCAACUGUGUGGAGUUAACAGAGUGUUCCUUCAUUUCUAGAUGGUACUUCAAUUGAAAAAAAAAAAAUCCUGGGGAAACCAUCCCCACUGAGUUUGUCAGUGGUAUAGAGAAGUGGGUGCAGCUAAAUUGGGAUUGGAUAAGAGCUCUGCCUGAAAUGAAGGCAUACAACACAGAAGAUGGCGGGAGUGACCUGAGCAAGGGAGGGACUUGAAAACAUGGGGAAGAUAAAGAUACAGGUGGAUAAAAGCUGAAGAGGGAGUUUGCUGGUUCUAACUCUUGAGCAAAUGACAGAGACAGAGGUGAUGAAGUUAUCCAUUCUCUGAUAGAAUGACGAGUCAUUCUCAAGAAGACUGCUGAAUCCAAUGGCGAGGCUGUGAACUCUAUGAAGGCAAGAACAAUGCCUGUUCAUGUUUGUAUCCCCAAGACCUCCCUUAUUAGGAGAUACCUAAUAAAUCUGUU